UAGAGAUGCAGCCAGUCAGCAGCAUUAAAAUUACUGAGAAUUCUGAGUGGAACCUAUGGAAAAGAAGGACGGUUACAUCAUAGUGGAGACAAGUUCACCAGACCUUUUCCCUGCUCCACAUUGGGGGGAGGGCAGGAGAGGCACAAAGACUGACUGUAGCACAGACACACGAGCAGGGACUUGCCCUAUGCUGGUUUAGAGAUGAGCUCAACCAAGUUCAGAUUUGGGUGCUAAGUUAAAGUUGAAGGGCAUCUGAGAGAUCUGCUCCUGACCCCAGAUGCGGCCUCGCAGGGAUUCAUGAGCUGGGAAGAACUGUG